UACAACGAAACUGCGAAUGGCUCGGUAAAACAGCAAUAAUUUAUUCGGGGGUAAUUGCUACUUGGAUAACCGUAGUAAAGCUAGAGCUAAUACGUGCUACAAAGGCGAGAUUCGCUCUCGUGGUACUAAGUAUUAGGUACAACCCAAUUUUAUUGGCGAUUCAUACUUAUCUUCUGAUCGCACUCUGUGCGACGCCCCGAAUAAAUUUCUGACCUAUCAACUUCGAUGGUAAGGUAGUGUCUUACCAUGGUUGUGACGGGUAACGGACCGUGGGUGCGGGAUUCCGGAGAGGGAGCCUGAGAAACGGCUACCACAUCCAAGGAAGGCAGCAGGCGCGCAACUUACCCAAUCCGAACUUCGGGAGGUAGUGACAAAAAAUAUCAAUAAGGGGACCGAUGGUCUUCUUAAUUGGAAUGAAAACAAUCUAAACACCUUAUUAAGGAACCAGCAGAGGGCAAGUCUGGUGCCAGCAGCCGCGGUAAUUCCAGCUCUGUAAGCGUAUACCAAAGUUGUUGCAGUUAAAACGCUCGUAGUCGAACUUUGGCGUGAGUUACGGAGAAUCCUAAUGGACUUUGAAGUAACUCCGCCUUUGUGGAGGGGGGUGCGGUGGUACUUUAUUGUAUUGCUGCGCUUCCGCCACUGUUUACUGUGAAAAAAUUAGAGUGUUCAAAGCGAGCGUUUGCCAUGAAUACAUUAGCAUGGAAUAAUAGAAUAGGACCUGGUCCUGUUUUGUUGGUUUGUCUGUAUCAGGUAAUGAUUAACAGGGACGGUCGGGGGCAUUUGUAUUCCAGCGUUAGAGGUGAAAUUCUUGGAUCGCUGGAAGACAAACAGCUGCGAAAGCGUCUGCCAAGGACGUUUUCAUUGAUCAAGAACGAAAGUAAGGGGAUCGAAGACGAUCAGAUACCGUCGUAGUCUUUACUAUAAACGAUGAUGACUAAGGAUCAGCCGUGGCCUAUUGGUACGGUUGGCACUUUCCGGGAAACCAAAGUUUUUGAUUUCUGGGGGGAGUAUGGUCGCAAGUCUGAAACUUAAAGGAAUUGACGGAAGGGCAUCACCGGGUGUGGAGCCUGCGGCUUAAUUUGACUCAACACGGGAAAACUUACCAGGUCCAGACAUAGUAAGGAUUGACAGAUUGAGAGCUCUUUCUUGAUUCUAUGGUUGGUG
rnacentral:rRNA from 1 species